CCCCACUAGAUAUGCUCUGAAUCAGGAAGUGAUACUCCCUCUACCCCACUAGAUAUGCUCUGAAUCAGGAAGUGAUACUCCCUCUACCCCACUAGAUAUGCUCUGAAUCAGGAAGUGAUACUCCCUCUACCCCACUAGAUAUGCUCUGAAUCAGGAAGUGAUACUCCCUCUACCCCACUAGAUAUGCUCUGAAUCAGGAAGUGAUACUCCCUCUACCCCACUAGAUAUGCUCUGAAUCAGGAAGUGAUACUCCCUCUACCUCACUAGAUAUGCUCUGAAUCAGGAAGUGAUACUCCCUCAGCAGUGUGACGUCCAUUAAACAACGACGUAGAAGAGUUGUCUUUUUAAUACUUAAUGCUGUUCCAGUGGAGGAGAAGACGGUUACACUUUGACCCCCAGCUGGAGGCGUAAACUUUGACCCCCAGCUGGAGGCGUAAACAGAAGACCAGCAGCAAUACAUCCCUGUAUCAACAUCAAGUCUAACUUAUCAGCUAUACUCAAGAAGACUUCUACAGAUGGAGAUGUUUACGGAAUUGUUUAAAAUAGUUGGGAGGAAAGGAAGCCACAGAAUAAUUUGGUCAUCAACAAAUAGCCCAGUUCCUUUGUUUCUCACCAUUCCAGAGUAUUUAAACUGAUUCUCCUAAAUAAAUGGAAAUUGAGCUGCUACAUGAUUUGUCUGUAUUAUGCACAAUAAUCUGGCACAAAUCAGACCUUCUGAUUUAGUUCAUUUUUAAUGACUACCAAACAGUGAAAAUGGUCACUAACCAGAUUUCCAUACCAGUGAAGUACAGGCCUGAUGGUCAACUUCCCAGAGGUCGACUAAAACAGACGGGAUAUUUUACGUUGUGGACCUCCCACUAGGACUCAGGCUACAGGUUACGUUCAAGAGGUUUGAUAUGGCUAAGGGCUGUCCUUAACCAUGGUAUAUUGGGGGUUUGAUAUGGCUAAGGGCUGUCCUUAACCUUGGUAUCCAAUUUGUAAGUCGCUCUGGAUAAGAGCGUCUGCUAAAUGACUUAAAUGUAAAUGUAAAUAUUGGGGGUUUGAUAUGGCUAAGGGCUGUCCUUAACCAUAGUAUAUUGGGGGUUUGAUAUGGCUAAGGGCUGUCCUUAACCAUAGUAUAUUGGGGGUUGGCUAAGGGCUGUCCUUAACCAUGGUAUAUUGGGGGUUUGAUAUGGCUAAGGGCUGUCCUUAACCAUAGUAUAUUGGGGGUUGGCUAAGGGCUGUCCUUAACCAUGGUAUAUUGGGGGUUUGAUAUGGCUAAGGGCUGUCCUUAACCAUGGUAUAUUGGGGGUUUGAUAUGGCUAAGGGCUGUCCUUAACCAUGGUAUAUUGGGGGUUGGCUAAGGGCUGUCCUUAACCAUGGUAUA